UGGUUCAUUGGUAGAAUUCUUGCCUUCCAUACAGGAGACCUGGGUUCAAUUCCCAG
rnacentral:tRNA from 1 species